UACAGUAAGUUUUGCUCACUCGAGGGAGUCUUGCUCAUCCCCUAAUGAAAGGGGUGAUGCUAUGUCAACAUUCCAGGCAUUAAUGCUAAUGCUUGCAAUCGGGUCGUUUAUAAUCGCCCUAUUGACGUAUAUAGAAAAAAUAGACCUCCCUUGAGCCUCAGAACCUGAAGGGAUAGGCCUACCUAGAACCACAUCGAGCAAGCCCUUUGAUGGGCAACUUUUUGUACAGAGCCGGGGUGUUGGUAGCACCUCGG
rnacentral:sRNA from 10 species